CUGUAAUGUGAAUCAAAUCAUCUGCCACAAUCAGAAACCAAAAAAAUGUAUAAACUCAUCUACUGGCAAUGGUUAAUUUGGUAGAAAUUUUUAGAUUAUCUACAUUCUGUAUGCAAAUCCUCAGAGAAUCCCUGAAGCUGGAUGUACUAAUAUGAAUGUAAUGUCUCAUUAGGAGUGUAGUCUAUCCUUGAAUUACAUUAAAUGGGGAAUAUUUUUAGUGUCCAGGACUCAGAUGAAGAGGAUGUUAGUAUGCGUUGUUGAGAGGAACUGCCCUACAGUGACUGGCCAUAGUGCUUACUGGAACUCUACAGAUCUUGCUGGACCAGCAGUAUCGUUUUUGUGGCCAUCACAGGUUUCAGUGGAGCACCCC